UACGUAGGGUGCGAGCGUUGUCCGGAAUUAUUGGGCGUAAAGAGCUCGUAGGCGGUUUGUCGCGUCGGGAGUGAAAACUCAGGGCUUAACCCUGAGCCUGCUUCCGAUACGGGCAGACUAGAGGUAUGCAGGGGAGAACGGAAUUCCUGGUGUAGCGGUGAAAUGCGCAGAUAUCAGGAGGAACACCAGUGGCGAAGGCGGUUCUCUGGGCAUUACCUGACGCUGAGGAGCGAAAGUGUGGGGAGCGAACAGG
rnacentral:rRNA from 1 species